GAUAAACGCUGGCGGCGUGCAUGAGACAUGCAAGUCAUACGGACGAGCUUGCUCGUUAGUGGCGAACGGCUGAGUAACGCGUAGGUGACCUGCCCCGAAGUGGGGGAUAACUGCCCGAAAGGGUGGCUAAUACCGCAUGUGGCGACGUGUUCGUUCACGUCAUCAAAGCCGCGAGGCGCUUCGGGAGGGGCCUGCGUCCGAUUAGCUCGUUGGUGGGGUAACGGCUCACCAAGGCGACGAUCUUUAACUGGUCUGAGAGGAUGAUCAGUCACACUGGAACUGAGACACGGUCCAGACUCCUACGGGAGGCAGCAGUAGGGAAUAUUGCACAAUGGAGGAAACUCUGACGCAGCGACGCCGCGUGAGUGAUGAAGGCCUUCGGGUCGUAAAGCUCUGUCGCAGGGGAAUAACACAAUGAAGGUACCCUGUAAGAAAGGAUCGGCUAACUUCGUGCCAGCCGCCGCGGUAAUAC
rnacentral:rRNA from 1 species